rnacentral:rRNA from 1 species
UGUUAUACUUAAUUGAAAAUUUUCUAAAGCUUGAGUAGUAAUCAGUUAUGUUCUUGAAACUUAAAGGAUUUGGCGGUAUUUUAGUCUAGUUAGAGGAACCUGUUUUAUAAACGAUAAACCACGAAUUAUCUUACUCCUUUUAGUAUAGUCAGUUUGUAUACCGUCAUUAUUAGAUAACCCUAACAAGGAGUUGUUAAGAUAAAUAUUUAUUUAAUAUAUUAGAUCAAGGUGCAGCCGAUAGGGGAGUCAAUAAUGGGUUACAGUUUUUUAAAAAAAACGGAAGAGUGGGUAGAAUACCCCUCAGAAGGUGGAUUUAAUAGUAAUUAUAUUUUAAUAUGGUAUGGUGGUAGUAGCUCUAAGAUAU